rnacentral:lncRNA from 1 species
CCUGACUGUCACUCGGCGCCGGCCGGUCAGGUCCACACCCAUGGCCAUGGCCAUGGUCCAAUUCAUCAAAGCAGAUUACAACAACAAGCUGCCCAAACAGUAGCUCCUACAGUAGUAGUAGUCCAGCCUCUCUUCUUCCUCAUCUCUGAAUCAUAAAAAGAAACGCAAAACCGCGAAGCUUCCUCCCAUCUCUUCUUCCUCUUGCAUUUGCACAUAUCAUAUCCAAGCUUUCUUUACUCACACUAGCAGCUCAGCUUAGCUUAGCUACGAGCUCUGCAUGCCAACACCACCUCGUACCCACUAGCCGUAGCAGAACAGCGAGCAGCGCCAUGAGCAACAUGUUCGGGGCCGGCGGCCAUGGAGGUGGCGGUGGGGAGCAGCAUGGAGGNNNNN